UACGAAGGGUGCAAGCGUUACUCGGAAUUACUGGGCGUAAAGCGUGCGUAGGUGGUUUGUUAAGUCUGUUGUGAAAGCCCCGGGCUCAACCUGGGAAUGGCAAUGGAUACUGGCAAGCUAGAGUGCGGUAGAGGGUAGUGGAAUUCCCGGUGUAGCGGUGAAAUGCGUAGAGAUCGGGAGGAACACCAGUGGCGAAGGCGGCUCACUGGACGUGGUAUUGACGCUGAGGUGCGAAAGCGUGGGGAGCAAACAGG
rnacentral:rRNA from 1 species